UAGAGUUUGAUCCUGGCUCAGGGUGAACGCUGGCGGCGUGCUUUAGGUAUGCAAGUCGAACGCUUGUGUGUAGCACAAGGAAAUUCGGAUUUAGAAUUUCGGAUUUUCUCGGGCUAUGCACGAGAGUGGCAGACGGGUGAGUAACGCAUGAGAACUUACUUUGGGGAGGAACAUAGCCCCGCGAAAGCGGGGGUAAUAUUCCGUACGGUCGCCUUUGGCGACGAUAGGGUGUAACUACCCGCCCUAAGAGAGGCUCAUGUCCUAUCAGCUAGUUGGUGAGGUAAAGGCCCACCAAGGCGAUGACGGGUAGCUGGACUGAGAGGUCGGUCAGCCACAGGGGCACUGAGACACGGGCUCCACACCUACGGGUGGCAGCAACCAGGAAUUUUGGGCAAUGGGCGAAAGCCUGACCCAGCGACGCCGCGUGGAGGAAGAAGGCCUUCGGGUUGUAAACUCCUUUUGCCAUGUCACACGACAUGGAGAAUAAGCCUCUACUAACUACGUGCCAGAAGUCUCGGUAAUACGUAGGAGGCAAGCGUUACCCGGAUUUAUUGGGCGUAAAGAGUAUGUAGGCGUCCUUUCAAGUCACACUUUAAAGACCAAGGCUUAACCUUGGAAUUGGGUGUGAUACUGUUAUGGAUUGAGGAUUGCCAGGGGUAUCGGAACAGCUGGUGUAGCAGUGAAAUGCGUUGAUAUCAGCUGGAACACCAAAGGCGAAGGCAGAUACCUGGGGUCAUUCCUGACGCUGAGAUACGAAAGCUAGGGUAGCGAAACAGAUUAGAGACCUGUGUAGUCCUAGCUGUAAACAUUGGGCGCUAGCUGGUAAGGUGACUUGCUAGCUAAGCUAACGCGUUAAGCGCCCCGCCUGGGGAGUACGGCCGCAAGGCUAAAACUCAAAGGAAUUGACGGGGACCCGCACAACCAGUGGAGCGUGUGGUUCAAUUCGAGACAAAGCGAAAAACCUCACCAGGACUUGACAUGUAACCGUUUAGUUUCCUAGAAAUAGGGGAUGAUCCGCAAGGAUGGUUACACAGGUGCUGCAUGGCUGUCGUCAGCUCGUGCCGUGAGGUGUUCCCUUAAGUGGGGAAACGAGUGCAACCCCUGCUGUGUGUUAAAUAUUCACACGGGACUGCCUCGCCUUUGGCGAGGAGGAAGGAGGGGCGGACGUCAAGUCAGCAUGGCCCUUAUGUCCUGGGCCACACACACACUACAAUGGCGAAAAACAAUGAGUUGCAAGCACGUAAGUGUAAGCUAAUCUCUCAAAUUUCGCCUCAGUUCAGAUUGGGGUCUGAAACCCGACCCCAUGAAGCCGGAAUUGGUAGUAAUCGCGGAUCAGCGUGCCGCGGUGAAUACGUUCUCGGGUCUUGUACACACCGCCCGUCAAGGCAGCAAAGUCGGGAGUGGCCGAAGUCGCCUUGGCGACGAGGCCAAGUUCGGCGAUGAAGCUUAAGUCGAACAAGGAACCAGGGGAAUCGCGCGAUA
rnacentral:rRNA from 1 species